rnacentral:rRNA from 1 species
CUACUCCUACGGGAGGCAUCAGUAGGGAAUCUUCGGCAAUGGGGGCAAGCCUGAUGCAGCGACGCCGCGUGAGUGAUGAAGGUCUCUUCGGAUCUGUAAAGCUCUGUUGUAAGUCAAGAACGAGUGUGAGAGUGGAAAGUUCACACUGUGACGGUAGCUUACCAGAAAGGGACGGCUAACUACGUGCUAGCAGCCGCGGUAAUAA